ensembl:lncRNA
CACAGGUAGAGGAGAAGAGGAGAGAGAACACAGGUAGAGAAGAGAGAGAACACAGGUAGAGGAGAAGAAGAGAGAGAACACAGGUAGAGUAGAAGAAGAGAGAGAACACAGGUAGAGGACUGGAGGACAGAGAACAGGUAGAGGACUGGAGGACAGAGAACAGGUAGAGGACUGGAGGACAGAGAACAGGUAGAGGAGUGGAGGACAGAGAACAGGUAGAGGACUGGAGGACAGAGAACAGCUGGAGGACUGGAGGACAGAGAACAGGUAGAGGACUGGAGGACAGAGAACAGCUGGAGGAGUGGAGGACAGAGAACAGGUAGAGGACUGGAGGACAGAGAACAGGUAGAGGACUGGAGGACAGAGAACAGGUAGAGGACUGGAGGACAGAGAACAGGUAGAGGACUGGAGGACAGAGAACAGGUAGAGGACUGGAGGACAGAGAACAGGUAGAGGACUGGAGGACAGAGAACAGGUAGAGGAGUGGAGGACAGAGAACAGGUAGAGGACUGGAGGACAGAGAACAGGUAGAGGACUGGAGGACAGAGAACAGGUAGAGGACUG